rnacentral:rRNA from 1 species
CGGAUUAGCUUGUUGGUGGGGUAAUGGCCCACCAAGGCGACGAUCCGUAACUGGUCUGAGAGGAUGGGCAGUCACACCGGGACUGACACACGGCCCGGACUCCUACGGGAGGCAUUGUGGGGAAUCUUGCACAAUGGGCGCAAGCCUGAUCCAGCCAUGCCGCGUGUGUGAAGAAGGCCUUCGGGUUGUAAAGCACUUUCAGUAAGGAGGAAGGCUUCGGGUUAAUACCCUGGAGUACUUGACGUUACCUACAGAAGAAGCACCGGCUAAUUUCGUGCCAGCAGCCGCGGUAAUACGAAAGGUGCGAGCGUUAAUCGGAAUUACUGGGCGUAAAGCGCGCGUAGGUGGUGUGUUAAGUCGGAUGUGAAAGCCCAGGGCUCAACCUUGGAAUUGCAUCCCAUACUGGCUCACUAUAGUGCGGUAGAGGGAAGUGGAAUUUCCGGUGUAGCGGUGAAAUGCGUAGAUAUCGGAAGGAACACCAGUGGCGAAGGCGGCCUCCUGGACUGACACUGACGCUGACGUGCGAAAGCGUGGGGAGCA